CAGACGCUACUCUGCUGCUCGAGCAAAACUAACUCUGCUUUAGUGUUUAAAUUAGCGGCUAAUUGCCUGGAUUGCAUUUAAAUUAACUUAAAUUAGUUAUACUCAAGCACUUAUACUUCUCUUCUCUUACAGCCACUGA